rnacentral:rRNA from 1 species
GAUGAACGCUGGCGGCGUGCCUAAUACAUGCAAGUCGAGCGAACGGACGAGAAGCUUGCUUCUCUGAUGUUAGCGGCGGACGGGUGAGUAACACGUGGAUAACCUACCUAUAAGACUGGGAUAACUUCGGGAAACCGUAGCUAAUACCGGAUAAUAUUUUGAACCGCAUGGUUCAAAAGUGAAAGACGGUCUUGCUGUCACUUAUAGAUGGAUCCGCGCUGCAUUAGCUAGUUGGUAAGGUAACGGCUUACCAAGGCAACGAUGCAUAGCCGACCUGAGAGGGUGAUCGGCCACACUGGAACUGAGACACGGUCCAGACUCCUACGGGAGGCAGCAGUAGGGAAUCUUCCGCAAUGGGCGAAAGCCUGACGGAGCAACGCCGCGUGAGUGGUGAAGGUCUUCGGAUCGUAAAACUCUGUUAUUAGGGAAGAACAUAUGUGUAAGUAACUGUGCACAUCUUGACGGUACCUAAUCAGAAAGCCACGGCGAACUACGU